rnacentral:rRNA from 1 species
UACGAAGGGGGCUAGCGUUGCUCGGAAUUACUGGGCGUAAAGGGAGCGUAGGCGGCUAGUUUAGUCAGAGGUGAAAGCCCAGGGCUCAACCUUGGAACUGCCUUUGAUACUGGCUAUCUUGAGUACGGGAGAGGUGAGUGGAACUCCGAGUGUAGAGGUGAAAUUCGUAGAUAUUCGGAAGAACACCAGUGGCGAAGGCGACUCACUGGCCCGUUACUGACGCUGAGGCUCGAAAGCGUGGGGAGCAAACAGG